UCUUGUUGGAGUCACAGGCUGUGACCUCACUCAAAUAUUACCAUCAUCCUGCCCCUUGUUCAAGUUAUAUUAAAUAACAAACUUGUCAGAGGAGGAAGAACUGAGGAAAAGUGGAGAAGCUAAAUAUGCGCACUUGAGUGAUGAGCUUCAUGUAUUAAUUGAAGUGUUUGCUCCACCUGGGGAAGCAUAGUCUCGUAUGAGUCAUGCCUUGGAAGAAAUAAAAAAAUUCCUCGUUCCUGAUACAGUAUUAAGAAUGAGGAUCCUCAUUUGAGUGUCAGCUUUGUAACUGCAUCACCUCUACCCUUUUGGAAUCACUGUGAAUAUCGGACAGAACAAAUUUGGAUUCAAAUGUCUUAAUAUUUUUUCCCAAUUGUUCAUUCUUGUAAUAAAUGGGUAACCUGUAACUUUGCUUAAAAACAGAAACAUAAAAAAGAGGAUAGCCACUUCAUGAAAAAUUGUGUUGUCUGUAUUUUAUACUAAAAUAUUAGAUAUAUUUUUUUCCUAUUCUUGAUAAAGACAGUUUAGUAUGUUUUUCUUUGCAAUAUAUGUUACUGAUGUAACAAUGAUGAACAAACUGAUGUGCAAAUCAGGCAACAGUUUUCCAGAACUUAACAAUGUGUGAACCACAGGUAUUUACCUAUGAAGCUUGAAUCUGGAAAUACAAGUUGUUUUUAAGACCUAAGUUGUAAUGAUAGAAAACAAGAGGUAAAAGUCUAAACGAAUAAACAGAAGCAGUCCUUACUAUUUUUGAUUGCAUUCACAUGAAACUUUAUAUGCAUUGUAAACUGGUAUUUUUACAUAAGAGUAGUGACUGACGGGAAAAAAAAAGAGGCCUUUAUGAUUAUCUUUUUUUCAGUGCCAGGGGAAAUUAGUUUGUAAAUAAUGUACCUGCCCUUUACACUGUUAUCACAUUUAUGAUAACUCCACUGGCUGUUCUACAGUUAUGCUAAUGAUAUAUUUGACCUAAUGUUCAAUGCAGGAGGUUGGUGCUUGAAUUGUGGUUGUUUUUUUUUUUUUGUGAGUGGAUUCCUCUACCUGUUUUCAGCCUUUCAGUAUUUAAAGUAUAAUUUAAAAAGGAAAAAAAAAAGCAUAAUGUGGAAUCAGUAGAAAUUAAAUAAUGUCUUCUGUACAAUGAUGAUUUCUAUUUGUGUUUCAGCUUCAUCUUCUGCAUCUUGCUUGCAUGGAGGAAAAAAAAUUUAGUGUAUAGUUUACGUUGGUUUCUUCUUUGGGAACAGGUGGGACAGAUAGUUGAGAGGGGAGAAGGUUUUGAUGAUCCAGUAGGACUAGCAUAAUUUCUGAUGUUAAAGGAAUGCUAAUGGUGAUAUUGUUUUAAAUCUCUUAGUCCUGGUGACUAAAUACAUCCCUCAUGAAUGAAGAUUGAGUCAAUUUCCCAUGAACUUGUAGGCAGGUUCCCAGAUCCCUGUGGAUCUUCAGUCAAGUAUUAGAGAAGGGUUCCUGCUGUCAACUCACUUUCUAACCUUAUGGAAGACAUUUAACAUUGAUGCAACUUUGUUCCUAAUUAGGAAAAUAAGCCUAAUCAUACUUAAUUACUGUUUCUAUUUCAUAGGGGAAUAUGAUAAAUUAGGUGUAAGAGCUUGAAAUAUAAAAAGCUUUUUAAGUGGAUAAUAUGAUCCAUUGACCUCAACUGAUUUUUUUUCUUUUUGAAGAAGUUGCAACCAAUGUGUAUAACAAGUCUUGUGUUAACUAGUGAGUGUUCUGCUACACAGGGGCUUAACAGAUCUACGGCAGAGCCUUUUCAAAUUGUGAAUCUGCAACUGCAAAUGUUGCAGAAUAUGGUGUCAAAAAAAAAAGUAGGCAAUUGAAUAUUUUUGUAUGACUUCAAGGUAAAGACUUGUCAGCUUUACAUAAUCAGGAUUCAAUAACAAGGACAGGGAUUACUGUGGCCCAGAGUCUUUGUGUACAAAAUGCUAAAAUAAGCAAUGCCUCAGGAAAUCAUAGAAUGGCCUCAGUUAAAAAGAGCCACAAUGAUCAUCUAGUUUCAACUCCCCUGCAAUGUGCAUCACUUAGCAAUAUGAUGCAAUACAGGUACAGAAAUGUAGAUUAUAAUAACCUUCUGUUCUGAAGUUUAAGCAAAGAUACAUUACUAAGAAACACUGUGCAUGCAUACACUAAAUCAUCAAACAAGCAUGAUAAAUGGUGAUGAAGAUGAUACAAAUGACCCACUUAAACAGAGAAGAGUGAGAACUACAAGAAAUGACAGGCAGAUGGCUGUAUUAGAUAUAGGAGACUUAAAAUGUCUGUAGCCCCAGGAUAUGGACUCAGCUAUAAGUUGAAUACUGACAUGUCUUUUAUCCAGCGUGUUGGGGGGGGAAAAAGACAAUUGUAUAGAAAACAAGAGAAGUACUGGGCAGGAA